rnacentral:tRNA from 1 species
GGGAAGGUGGCUCAGUGGUAGAGUACUUGCCUUGCAUGCAUGAGGCCCUGGGUUUGAUUCCUCACCACCACA